UUUCCUAAUAAUGAGUUGGUGGUGGCGGAGAGGCAUAAAUGUAAACUGGAGGUGGAGGUGACUUCACAGGUGGUGGUGGGGAGUGGUAGUAGUAGGGGGGAGGGGGUGACUUCACAGGUGGGGGUGGUGAGUGGUAGUAGUAGGGAGGAGGGGGUGACUUCACUGGUGGGGGUGGUGAGUGGUAGUAGUAGGGGGGAGGCGGUGAUUUUACUGGUGGGGGUGGUGAGUGAUAGUAGUAAGGAGGAGGAGGUGACUUCACAGGUGGAGGUGGGGAGUGGUAGUAAUAUGGAGGAGGGGGUGACUUCACCGGUGGCGGCGGUGAGUGGUAGUAAUAAGGAGGAGGGGGUGACUUCACAGGCGGGGGUGGAGAGUGGUAGUAGUAUGGGGGAGGGGGUGAUUUCACUGGUGGAGGUGGAGAGUGGUAAUAGUAUGGAGGAGGUGGUGACUUCACGGGUGGAGGUGGAGAGGGGUAGUAGUAUGGGGGAGGGGGUGAUUUCACUGGUGGAGGUGGAGAAUGGUAAUAGUAUGGAGGAGGUGGUGACUUCACGGGUGGAGGUGGAGAGUGAUAGUAGUAUGGGGGAGGAGGAGACUUCACUGGUGGGGGUGGUGAGUGAUAGUAAUAUGGAGGAGGGGGUGAUUUUACCGGUGGAGGUGGAGAGUGGUAGUAGUAUGGAGGAGGAGGAGACUUCACGGGUGGAGGUGGAGAGUGGUAGUAGUACGGAGGAGGGGGAGACUUCACCGGUGGAGGUGGAGAGUGGUAGUAGUACGGAGGAGGAGGUGACUUCACGGGUGGAGGUGGAGAGUGAUAAUAGUACGGAGGAGGAGGUGACUUCACUGGUGGUGGUGGAGAGUGAUAAUAGUAUGGGGGAGGAGGUGACUUCACUGGUGGUGGUGGAGAGUGAUAGUAAUAUGGGGGAGGAGGUGAUUUCACUGGUGGAGGUGGAGAAUGGUAAUAGUAUGGAGGAGGUGGUGACUUUACUGGUGGUGGUGGAGAAGUGUAGUAGUAAGGAGCAGGUGUGGGCUCGGGUUUAGGCUUCUUACACUCCUCGUAAGGAGUUUUAGGAGCAUAAGCAAAUGGCUUAGCUUGAAGAACAACUUCAUACUUUGUCUUGGACUUAACCUUAAGCUCGGCACCCUUAUCACCCAUGUGUAGGUCAGUUGGG
rnacentral:lncRNA from 1 species